CAAUAGCGUAUAUUAAAGUUGUUGCAGUUAAAAAGCUCGUAGUUGGAUUUCUGGUGGGAGCGAUCGGUCUGGCGCUUAGCGCGAGUACUUGCAUCGUCUCCGGCCAUCCUUGGGGAGAGUCUGCCUGGCAUUAGGUUGUCGGGCAGAGGAUCCUCAUCGUUUACUGUGAAAAAAUUAGAGUGUUCAAAGCAGGCUUAUGCCGUUGAAUAUAUUAGCAUGGAAUAAUAAGAUAGGACUUUGGUACUAUUUUGUUGGUUUGCGCACCAAAGUAAUGAUUAAUAGGGACAGUUGGGGGUAUUCGUAUUCCGUUGUCAGAGGUGAAAUUCUUGGAUUUACGGAAGACGAACCACUGCGAAAGCAUUUACCAAGGAUGUUUUCAUUAA
rnacentral:rRNA from 1 species